GACGAACGCUGGCGGCGUGCCUAAUACAUGCAAGUCGAGCGGAUCUCUGAUGGGGCUUGCUCCUGAUGAGGUUAGCGGCGGACGGGUGAGUAACACGUAGGCAACCUGCCUGCAAGCCUGGGAUAACAUCCGGAAACGGAUGCUAAGACCGGAUACGCAGUUUGGUCGCAUGACUAAGCUGGGAAAGACGGAGCAAUCUGUCGCUUGCAGAUGGGCCUGCGGCGCAUUAGCUAGUUGGUGAGGUAACGGCCCACCAAGGCGACGAUGCGUAGCCGACCUGAGAGGGUGAACGGCCACACUGGGACUGAGACACGGCCCAGACUCCUACGGGAGGCAGCAGUAGGGAAUCUUCCACAAUGGACGCAAGUCUGAUGGAGCAACGCCGCGUGAGUGAGGAAGGCCUUCGGGUCGUAAAGCUCUGUUGCCAGGGAAGAACGCCUAGGAGAGUAACUGCUCUUAGGGUGACGGUACCUGAGAAGAAAGCCCCGGCUAACUACGUGCCAGCCGCCGCCGUAACAC
rnacentral:rRNA from 1 species